AAAUUGAAGAGUUUGAUCAUGGCUCAGAUUGAACGCUGGCGGCAGGCCUAACACAUGCAAGUCGAACGGUAACAGAAAUCAGCUUGCUGAUUUGCUGACGAGUGGCGGACGGGUGAGUAAUGUCUGGGAAACUGCCUGAUGGAGGGGGAUAACUACUGGAAACGGUAGCUAAUACCGCAUAACGUCGCAAGACCAAAGAGGGG
rnacentral:rRNA from 1 species